UACAGAGGGUGCAAGCGUUAAUCGGAAUUACUGGGCGUAAAGCGUGCGCAGGCGGGGAUGUAAGGCAGAUGUGAACUCCCCGGGCUCAACCUGGGAACUGCAUUUGUGACUGCAUCGCUGGAGUGCGGCAGAGGGGGAUGGAAUUCCGCGUGUAGCAGUGAAAUGCGUAGAUAUGCGGAGGAACACCGAUGGCGAAGGCAAUCCCCUGGGCCUGCACUGACGCUCAUGCACGAAAGCGUGGGGAGCAAACAGG
rnacentral:rRNA from 1 species